rnacentral:rRNA from 1 species
GCCCAAUGAGAGUUUAAAUGGCCGCGGUACACUAACCGUGCAAAGGUAGCAUAGUCACUAGUUUUUUAAUUGAAAGCUUGAAUGAAAGGUUUGAUGAAAAGAGUUCUGUCUCUAUAAGAAUUUAUUAGAAUUUUAUUUUUAAGUCAAAAAGCUUAAAUGAUUGUAGAAGACGAGAAGACCCUAUAGAGUUUUAUAUUUUUUUAACUAAAUAAGAAUUUAGGAUUUGAAUAUUUAAAUUGGUUAAAAAUGUAUUUUGUUGGGGUGAUAGAAAAACUGGAUAAACUUUUUUUACAAUAAAACAUUAAUUUAUGAAUGUGUGAUCCUAAGUUUAUAUUUAGAUUAUAAGAUUAAAUUACCUUAGGGAUAACAGCGUUAUUUUUUUUAGAGUUCUUAUCGAAAAAAAAGAUUGCGACCUCGAUGUUGGAUUAAAAUAGGUUAUUGGCGGAGAAGCUGAUAAAUUAGGUCUGUUCGACCUUUAAAAUUUUACAUGAUCUGAGUUUAAACCGGUGUGAG